rnacentral:rRNA from 1 species
UUGCUGGGUGGAUUAGUGGCGAACGGGUGAGUAACACGUGAGUAACCUGCCCCUGACUCUGGGAUAAGCGUUGGAAACGACGUCUAAUACUGGAUAUGAUCACUGGCCGCAUGGUCUGGUGGUGGAAAGAUUUUUUGGUUGGGGAUGGACUCGCGGCCUAUCAGCUUGUUGGUGAGGUAAUGGCUCACCAAGGCGACGACGGGUAGCCGGCCUGAGAGGGUGACCGGCCACACUGGGACUGAGACACGGCCCAGACUCCUACGGGAGGCAGCAGUGGGGAAUAUUGCACAAUGGGCGAAAGCCUGAUGCAGCAACGCCGCGUGAGGGAUGACGGCCUUCGGGUUGUAAACCUCUUUUAGUAGGGAAGAAGCGAAAGUGACGGUACCUGCAGAAAAAGCACCGGCUAACUACGUGCCAGCAGCCGCGGUAAUACGUAGGGUGCAAGCGUUGUCCGGAAUUAUUGGGCGUAAAGAGCUCGUAGGCGGUUUGUCGCGUCUGCUGUGAAAUCCCGAGGCUCAACCUCGGGCUUGCAGUGGGUACGGGCAGACUAGAGUGCGGUAGGGGAGAUUGGAAUUCCUGGUGUAGCGGUGGAAUGCGCAGAUAUCAGGAGGAACACCGAUGGCGAAGGCAGAUCUCUGGGCCGUAACUGACGCUGAGGAGCGAAAGCAUGGGGAGCGAACAGGAUUAGAUACCCUGGUAGUCCAUGCCGUAAACGUUGGGCGCUAGAUGUAGGGACCUUUCCACGGUUUCUGUGUCGUAGCUAACGCAUUAAGCGCCCCGCCUGGGGAGUACGGCCGCAAGGCUAAAACUCAAAGGAAUUGACGGGGGCCCGCACAAGCGGCGGAGCAUGCGGAUUAAUUCGAUGCAACGCGAAGAACCUUACCAAGGCUUGACAUACACCGGAAACGGCCAGAGAUGGUCGCCCCCUUGUGGUCGGUGUACAGGUGGUGCAUGGUUGUCGUCAGCUCGUGUCGUGAGAUGUUGGGUUAAGUCCCGCAACGAGCGCAACCCUCGUUCUAUGUUGCCAGCGGGUUAUGCCGGGGACUCAUAGGAGACUGCCGGGGUCAACUCGGAGGAAGGUGGGGAUGACGUCAAAUCAUCAUGCCCCUUAUGUCUUGGGCUUCACGCAUGCUACAAUGGCCGGUACAAAGGGCUGCGAUACCGUAAGGUGGAGCGAAUCCCAAAAAGCCGGUCUCAGUUCGGAUUGAGGUCUGCAACUCGACCUCAUGAAGUCGGAGUCGCUAGUAAUCGCAGAUCAGCAACGCUGCGGUGAAUACGUUCCCGGGCCUUGUACACACCGCCCGUCAAGUCAUGAAAGUCGGUAACACCCGAAGCCGG